UGCAAGUCGAGCGGAACGAUGGGAGCUUGCUCCCAGGCGUCGAGCGGCGAACGGGUGAGUAACGCGUAGGAAUCUGCCUGAUAGAGGGGGAUAGCUCGGGGAAACUCGAAUUAAUACCGCAUACGCCCUACGGGGGAAAGCAGGGGAUCUUCGGACCUUGCGCUAUCAGAUGAGCCUGCGUCGGAUUAGCUAGUUGGUGGGGUAAAGGCCCACCAAGGCGACGAUCCGUAGCUGGUCUGAGAGGAUGAUCAGCCACACCGGAACUGAGACACGGUCCGGACUCCUACGGGAGGCAGCAGUGGGGAAUAUUGGACAAUGGGGGCAACCCUGAUCCAGCCAUGCCGCGUGUGUGAAGAAGGCCUUCGGGUUGUAAAGCACUUUAAGCAGGGAGGAAAGGGCAACGGUUAAUACCCGUUGCAGUUGACGUUACCUGCAGAAUAAGCACCGGCUAACUUCGUGCCAGCAGCCGCGGUAAUACGAAGGGUGCAAGCGUUAAUCGGAAUUACUGGGCGUAAAGCGCGCGUAGGCGGUUUGGUAAGUGUGAUGUGAAAGCCCAGGGCUCAACCUUGGAACUGCAUCACAUACUGUCAGACUAGAGUACGGGAGAGGGGGGUAGAAUUCCACGUGUAGCGGUGAAAUGCGUAGAGAUGUGGAGGAAUACCGGUGGCGAAGGCGGCCCCCUGGAUCGAUACUGACGCUGAGGUGCGAAAGCGUGGGGAGCAAACAGGAUUAGAUACCCUGGUAGUCCACGCCGUAAACGAUGUCAACUAGCCGUUGGGGACGUAAUGUCUUGAGUGGCGCAGCUAACGCACUAAGUUGACCGCCUGGGGAGUACGGUCGCAAGAUUAAAACUCAAAUGAAUUGACGGGGGCCCGCACAAGCGGUGGAGCAUGUGGUUUAAUUCGACGCAACGCGAAGAACCUUACCUGGUCUUGACAUCCAGAGAACUUGGCAGAGAUGCCUUGGUGCCUUCGGGAACUCUGAGACAGGUGCUGCAUGGCUGUCGUCAGCUCG
rnacentral:rRNA from 1 species